ACAGGAUUAGAUACCCUGGUAGUCCACGCCGUAAACGAUGAGUGCUAAGUGUUUAGGGGGUCUCCGCCCCUUAGUGCUGCAGCUAACGCAUUAAGCACUCCGCCUGGGGGAGUACGGUCGCAAGACUGAAACUCAAAGGAAUUUUUGGGGGCCCGCACAAGCGGUGGAGCAUGUGGUAUAAUUCGAAGCAACGCGAAGAACCUUACCAGGUCUUGACAUCCUCUGACAACCCUAGAGAUAGGGCUUUCCCUUCGGGGAAAGAGUGACAGGUGGUGCAUGGUUGUCGUCAGCUCGUGUCGUGAGAUGUUUGGGUUAAGUCCCCGCAACGAGCGCAACCCUUGAUCUUAGUUGCCAGCAUUCAGUUGGGCACUCUAAGGUGACUGCCGGUGACAAACCGGAGGAAGGUGGGGAUUUUGUCAAAUCAUCAUGCCCCUUAUGACCUGGGCUACACACGUGCUACAAUGGACAGAACAAAGGGCUGCGAGACCGCAAGGUUUAGCCAAUCCCACAAAUCUGUUCUCAGUUCGGAUCGCAGUCUGCAACUCGACUGCGUGAAGCUGGAAUCGCUAGUAAUCGCGGAUCAGCAUGCCGCGGUGAAUACGUUCCCGGGCCUUGUACACACCGCCCGUCACACCACGAGAGUGUGCAACACCCGAAGUCGGUGAGGUAACCUUCAUG
rnacentral:rRNA from 1 species